ensembl:ncRNA asRNA:CR46246 antisense RNA:CR46246
CGAAACUUCUGCAUUGACCUAAGAAUAGCUCCACCUGUCCACCGAUGGUUGUAAAACAAAAUGAUUUUAACAGCCAACCGGGUCGAGCUGCAUUGCUUAACCCGGCCAGAAGCGAAAGCCAGUUAAGUGCGAUUGGUGUUUAUGGCUAUUGGCUGUGGCAGCGGCACUUGCUGUUCCCACCUAUCCUCCUGGUCCGCUCUCGGAUAUAGCCAUUCCGUAGACCGUGUCGUCGUUGUUGGUCAGGCCAAAUCGUAAGCACUCCCGAAUGGGCCGUAAAUCAUGCUCACUUACCUCACUGUUGGCGCCAGUGGCCACGUUGCUGGUGUUCCCAUUGCUGCUGCUGCUGCCCACGCAUCGGAAAUCGACGGAACCACCUGAUGAGCGUCGCGGUUUGCCGAUGUCCAGUCGCAGGAUACCUGGCUUGGGUCGUCGUGGAGCCGGGGCCGGUGGACUCCGCAAGGAUUCUCCAUUGCUUAGCCCCGAAGUUCCGGCUGCAGCUGCUGGUUCCUCGUCGUUCUGCAUGGCCAAAAAGGAGCGCACACUCACGUUGCGAAUCGCGAUUAUUCACCGCGCACACACGACCGCCGUGCAGCGCCAACGCGGACUGACUACAUCCGUGUCCUGGCCAGGACUUUGAAGCAACAAUUACGCGCGCAGCCACGGGCGCUGGAAAUAAAAUGUGAAUUAAACGCGCCACCCACGCGAUAAGUGACAAUGAAUGUGCCAUGUGAGUGUGCGGUGUCCGUUUCUCUGACUCCAGCGAGUCCAGCGAGUCCUGCUAGUUUGGCCACAGGAUGACGAUGACGUUGGACAGGACACGCGGCACUUUCAACUGCUUCUCCUGGCUGUCACAUGACACAAAGUGAACUUCCUGCUUUCAGGGUCACAUCGCGGCCUACCUCUGUGUAAUUAUGUCUGCCGCUGCCCCAAAAAGUGUCAACAGCUCGGCCCCGAAAACACAAAAUAUCGCAUGUCGCAUUCGCCAUGUGAGCGGGGAAAAAAAGGCCAUUUUUCAUUUUGACUUAUACUUUCACUUUUCAUUUUCAUACAUUUUUGCGCCUUCCAUUAGUGCGCUGCGUUGUGUCCUUAGUGUCCUUAAUUAUGAGCGCACAAAAGGUGCCUUCACUUUGUUUUCUAAUUGUGUUACUCCGUAAUUGGUAGGAUGAGUCUUUUUCCUACUCAAUAAAAAGUUUAAUUGCUAUUUU